rnacentral:rRNA from 1 species
UACGUAGGGAGCCAGCGUUGUCCGGAUUUACUGGGCGUAAAGAGCGCGUAGGCGGUCUAGUAAGCGGAGGGUGAAAUCCCGGGGCUCAACUCCGGAACUGCUUUCCGAACUGCUAGACUAGAGUACGGGAGAGGGUAGUGGAAUUCCUGGUGUAGCGGUGGAAUGCGUAAAUAUCAGGAGGAACACCGGUGGCGAAGGCUGCUACCUGGAACGUAACUGACGCUGAGGCGCGAAAGCUAGGGGAG